AGCAGUGCCUGUGAGCACAGCGUGCUCCUCAGCCUGGCUGCCUCCCACCCCUGCAGCUGCCCCCUGCAGAGGCUGUGCAUGUCUGCUGCAGCCUGCCCAGGCACGCCGCAUGGGUGCUUUAGCUGGCUCGCAGCGUACUGCGUUAUGCAGAGCCCCCCGGUCCCUCCUGCAGCCACGCUUGCAGGCUCAGGCUGUAAGGACAGCAGCUCUGCUGUUAAGGGGUAGUCUCUGGACCCCCCCCCCCGAAGGCUUUAGGGCCAGACAGACAUUUCCAAUCUCUUUCUGGCUCCCAGGGGUCCCCCUAUUACUCCUGGAAACCUGUAGCAUUGAGUUAAAUUACAUGGAGAGCUCGCGACUAAACAGCUUACAGCAGCAGUACAGCUCCCAACACAACCAUGAGCAAUCUCCUGAACGGAGCGUUCUAACUUCAGGUGAGGAAAAGCAACCGAAGCAGAUGGGCUUGUGAACAGCAGAGGCUUGGCUCUCCCACAGAGCUCCUUGCGGAGUGGAAGGGAGCAGAGUGGUUAGGAAACUGCUGCAGAUCCUGGGGAGUGCAAGGGUCACGGAGGAGAGAGACCUAGGAAAGAUGGUUCCGCAUUGGGAUUUCAGAGAGCUCAGUACGAGGCCUCGUGUUCUCCCUGAGAGCUGGUUUAAGCUAUUCUCACGUAAAGGAUUCAGACAUCCAUUCACAUGCUUCAGAUGCUUGGGAGAGGGGAAGGUAAAGAGUUACAUGGCUGCAAAAUGUGAUUGCUCAAAUUGGUUUGUUCCUUGGUGGAGAAUGUAACUCUCUUCUUUAAAGAUAGUGAACCCUUUCUUUUAACAGUGUCUACACAGUGUCAUUUGCUUUCACUGUUACACUGCUAAAGAUAAAUGCUCUGGUGUUUCGAGAAACUGCUGUGUAUGUGUUUCUAAUUACUUGAUAGCAGGGUACAGGUGGAGAAUGUAAUGAAGGAAAGCAGCUGAAGGAAGAAAAGCCGUUCCUGUGGGUAGGUGAGCAGAACACCUACAAGGCUGUGUUUCGGCUCCCUGCGCUCCCAGAAAGCGCUGGUGUGGCCCCAGCUGCCCAUUGGAGCUGCCCAAGUUAGGAUCCGUUCUGCAGCAGCUCCUCCUGGCAGCAGUACCAAGGCAGCAAGCAGGGCAUUUCGUCCUGCAGCGUAUGUAACCACCAUGGGCGCCCAAGAGGUGGAUGUUUCGGAGAAGGGGGCGUCAUGGGCAUUCUGGUGGAGGGCUGUCAGAGAGGGAGGAGCCAGGCGUAGAGAAAUUGCUGCUUGCCUUUUCCUCCCCAGGAUGCUGAACCCAGCACCCCAAACUGCCCACGGCUGCUCGGGAUUGGUGACAUCGAGAAUGCAACGUGUUGGGCUGUCAGAACGGAACGGGAGCAGCACAGCUUGGCUUCGGGAGCCAAAAAUAGCUCUGUGGAUCUGUCAUGCUUUCACCUUUGAGUCUGCUCUCUGGAAUCAGUAUUUGUCUGCUUCUGCCAAACCCCAAAAGCUGCAUCUCAUUAAAACCCCUGAUUAUUCAGGAAGAGUGAAGUUUGAUUCACAAGGAUAACGCUCUUUGAAGGAGUUCUGGGUCAUCACUCUAAGCUGUUUGAGUUCUACCUCUUCCUAGUAAGAAGGGCUUCAGCUAUCUCAGCUCUGCUCCUCCAGCAUCCCUCCAUUUCAUAGAUUAUGUUGUGGAAAUAAACACAUUUGGCAAGACUGGUGAGCAGGGAAUGAGGAGAGCGUGAUGCUGGUGCCCUGAUGUGGAAGACAGCUGUGGUUUGCUCACGUGCUGCUGCGGUGUCACCCACCCUCCCCAGGCCCAGGAAGUGCUCGGAAGGGGGAUUUUGUCCAUGCUGAUGGCUGCGUUGGCAUUCCCGUGUUCCUGAUGUCAUCGCAUGCAUUACCCUUUCCCUAAAGGACUCCGCAGGUGCAGGUGAUGAGCCCCCUGAGCAGUGGAUGGCUUCCAGAGCUGGGAGAGACAGCAGCGGGAAGCCACCGGGAAGCAUGCCUUAGCCUCUUGUGUGAGUGCAGGGGGUACGGGCUGCGCAUGGGGAGAAGUGAGGCAGGGAGCAACUGUGCCAAGAACAGGGGAAAUGAAGGAUUCCAGCCAUAUGACCCAAGACGUCAGCUGUACCUAUCAGGGAACCAAAACCCAAAGUGACAGGGUUGUGCGAGUGACCUGCCAUGCUGGGCAGAGGGCAGGUUUAACUGGUAUCUGUAAAGUGUGCUGGGAUAACCAGGAGCAAUGGGCUGUAUAUUUUCCAGGCACCCUCUGUUGCUGGUCUGAGAUUGUUUCCUUGAUUCCCCAAGCCCAGAGGCAAUGACUGUUUCCAUGUUCUGUCAAUUCUCUUCCUCUUGUUUUUAGCCUUUCUCCUCUCCGUGUUUUUCCUCUCCGUUUGGAAUUGCUCUCACACCACUGCAGUCCCCUUUCCCUGCCUUGGCUGGCACCAGCACCAGGAGCAAAUGGGGUAGUGUUUACACAGCAGUGCAGCUGCUGGACUCAGGAGAUGUGAAGUGUGGACCUGUUGUGCUCCCUUUGGUGACUCACACCACCUCUCCCUGCUUCUGACCUCCUUCAGCCUUCCUGCCAGGCUGACCUUCUCUGGGGAAAGGACUUGCUUUUAGUGUGUGAUCCUACCAUGUCUAAUACAAUAGGACCCAACCUCAGCUGUAGAGGAGGCUGAUCCUGUUCACACGAGAGGGCAUGGACCAUCUGCCUCUUCUCUUACUGGAUAAGCAACAAAGUCUUGCAGCCAAAGAUGGGUUACAGUGCCCCAGUGAGAAGUGGGACACUGGAAAAGCAACGGCAUUGAAGGUGGGGAAGAGGAGUGGAGACUCCAUUAUCAGUUUGUCUCCAGUAAUGGUCUCGUCUGAGAACAAAGGCAAUAUGACAGCCACCAAAACAGAGAAAAAUGCCAAACUAAGUGCCACUGAUAACAAUGUGAAUGCCUGUGGCACAGUGUCAUCCCAUGACAGGCUUCCAGAGAUGAAAUCUCACACUGGUUUAAUGGAUGGAAAAAUCCAGUUGACUGCAAUAACAUCAGGCUUUCCCCUUGGGGUUACCUGCAUUUCUCUCCUGAAUGCCCAGACAGCCAUAGCCCACGUUGUUAUGCACAUGCUGAUAACAAUUAAAUUAUUCUUUUCCCUUCAAGUGUGGAUUGGAUGCAGUAAUCCCUGCCUUUUGGAUUCUAGGUUCCCUCUAUCUACAUCUGAAAUCCCUAAAUAAACAAACACUGGAUUAAACCUCAACAGCUCCCUCUGCUCAGCAACUGAAGCCUUUAAAAGCAUUUCACACCAACUGCUCUGCUCUUGUUUCAGACUCUCUUCACCACUGACUCAAGCCAAGGAGCUCCUUCUUGCUCUCAAACUUGCCAGGGAACUAACCUUAGUUAUUGGAAGGUCUGGCUCCAUCUAUGACCCUCCCUGAAUCUGUU